rnacentral:rRNA from 1 species
UGGGGAAUUUUGGACAAUGGGGGAAACCCUGAUCCAGCCAUCCCGCGUGUGCGAUGAAGGCCUUCGGGUUGUAAAGCACUUUUGGCAGGAAAGAAACGUCAUGGGUUAAUACCCCGUGAAACUGACGGUACCUGCAGAAUAAGCACCGGCUAACUACGUGCCAGCAGCCGCGGUAAUACGUAGGGUGCAAGCGUUAAUCGGAAUUACUGGGCGUAAAGCGUGCGCAGGCGGUUCGGAAAGAAAGAUGUGAAAUCCCAGAGCUCAACUUUGGAACUGCAUUUUUAACUACCGGGCUAGAGUGUGUCAGAGGGAGGUGGAAUUCCGCGUGUAGCAGUGAAAUGCGUAGAUAUGCGGAGGAACACCGAUGGCGAAGGCAGCCUCCUGGGAUAACACUAACGCUCAUGCACGAAAGCGUGGGGAGCAAACAGG